CUAAUAUGUAUGAACAUAGCCGAUGAAAGACAAAAUAAAAAUAUUUAUUUUUUACAAAAUUAUUAUUUUUUAUAUUUUUAAAAUAUGUCGCAAAAAUAAUACUUUUUGAAAACAUGGCAACAUUGGUAGAAAAUUGACAUGACGUUAAAGACAACUCAAUUAAGAUGGACGAUAUAUUUGUAAAUUGAUGUCAAAACAGGAAACUUUUAAAUGAGAAUUAUAGAAAAAAUUGCAAUAAAAUACAAAAUUCGUAGUUUUUACAGCAUUAUAAAGUCGCCUUUCAUCUAGACAAGUACCAAAAACAAAAAUGGAUUUACAUUCUAUUUUUUGGAAUAUUUUCUACAGAAGCUCGAACUUCAAAGCUUUAACAGUUCACAACCAACAAAAAACCCAACACAAUGAUUCCUAUAUUAUUAUACAUUUCAUUAGAUGUUUGUUAAUAUAUCAUUGGUUUGGUUA
rnacentral:lncRNA from 1 species